UAAACACCCAGCAUUAUCAUCAGCACACCUGGAACAGGAGCCGCUGCCAUCAGCAGAUGAUGUCUCAUCUACUUUGAGAGUUUUCAUGGUGUGUUUUUCAGUGGCUCUGUCUCCUCCCAGGGCACUGGCAUCUCCAGGGCAGAUAUUCUAUGUAGUGAUCUAUGUGACGACUCAAGACCACUCCCUGGCUUCCAACUGAUUGGCUUCCCAGUUAGAAACUCAAUGCUUAUGUCUGGAUUAAUAUCAAUGGAAAGGAAAUGGGAACAGAGCAUGAAGGAACUUAUACCUGCUGGGGUCUUAGGCCAACUACCUUCUGAAUGACAGGAAAAGGAAGUUCUGUUCAUUGUACUAAUCACUCAUUUUUCAUCUUGAAGGCCCUGCUGACAUGAGAUGGAGAUGAGACUUGACCUAGAAAGUAUCAAACCCUGGAGUUGUCUGUCCUCUGGAAGGGCCCACCUCAGCUCUUGAGCAGACACUUCAGUUUCCAAGUUGACAUCAGCUUGAAAUCAGCCAUGAUGCAAAUAUUCAAACCAAGGACAUUGCCAAAUGCUACAAACCAGUUUUCUUUUUACCCUGAUAAUUGACUGUUAGAUAGUUACCCGCACAUCACUUGUGACAUCCACACUGUCUACUCUUUUCUGCAAAGAAUCAUCUACAGUCAGAUAAGCCUUCCUAAAGAGUCAAGUGAAAAAGGCACGGGCAGCUGGCAUCAGAGAUGAGUUGGGUUCCCCCACUAGAUGAGUGACCUUGAGCUGGUUGCUUGAGGUGCAAACUGAUCCUUUGUAAAUAAGGGGAUGGGCAGGCCAAGGCAUAUUGAGUUAGGGUCCUGAUCAGGGCUUCUAGCUGGGGCUUUCUGGUUCUUCCAGGCCAGAGGGCAGGCUCAGAAGGGCAGGACCAGCAGAUCUUCCUGGCCUCUUUGCUGUUAGAAGGCUGCCUGGUAAGACAGACCUUAAUUUUUGGCCUGGCAAGCAAAGCUGCUAUUUUAAAACUGCUGCUUGCUUCUCACUCUAGAAGGACACAGAAAGUCACCUAGGGGCUGAGCUUCCUGGGAAGCUUACUUCCAGGGAAGGCUUCCUGGCAUGACCCCUAAUAGUUAUGUAAAUGUAAGGCAGGUUUGUUCCCUGUGUGUGUGUGCGUGUUAUGUGUGUUCAGAUACCUUUUGUGGCCUGACAGGUUGCCUCUCCAAACGGGUGUCUGGCUGGAGCCAGGAAGAGGGAAGGAAUGACCAGACUGAGACCCCAACUCUUUACCUUUGAGGGUCAGUUAUUAGACCAUCUCUGAAGGACUGACAUGUCUUCUCUCUGUUCUCUUUCUGGAAUGCCUAGUAGUUAGAAGUUGUGCCUUCUGAACUCACCUCCAUGCUUUUUUCCUCUCAGAUUUGAAUUUAGAGAAAUUAGAGAAUAGAAGCAAACAAAAUUAAGGCAGGAGAGGGAAGAGGGACAGCCACCCGGAUCCCACAAGCACGGACACUACCUGCCCACAUCCAUUUAGGCUGCCUUUCCUUUACAUACAAAUAUGUAACUAGACGAGAUCUUAAUGCAUAUGUGCUGAUAUUUUCAACACAUUCAGUGUAUAAAUGUACAUGUACGGCACUAUUUUCUAAUGUCUGUCAUUUAUUUUUCUGGAGGUAUUCGCAUUCCGUUAUUAAUUUAACCAGCUCCCUGAAGCAAACAAUUAGGUUGUUCCCUCAUUUUUACUGUGAAUAUUUUUCUCAUACUUGUUCAAGAACAAUUAUAUUCUUGUCCUUGUUUUACUCAUUAAAAACACUUUUUGCUUCUUCUCUCCCCUCUCCUUCCAAAGGUAAUCAAUUUUAACAUUUUGAACAUUAUAAAGUGUAUCCUUCCAUGUCCUUCCUCAUGCUCAUCAAUCAUUAUACAUAUAUGUAUAUACAUAUAUACGCACACACAUACACACACACACACACGCUUUGUCCUGGUUUUCUGUCAACAACAGGAACAUCCUGUGUGCAGUUCCACGAAGUUUCUUUUCAUCACUUCAACAUGGGGAUCUUACUAGUCAAUGAAUGGAAUUAACUCAUUUUUAAAAAUUUUAAUACUUGCAAAAUAUUCCAUACUCGUGAUGGGCCACAGUAUAUUCAAACAUUCUUAUAUCAGUGGGCUUUCAGGUUUUGUUUUGUGUUUGACUUUACAAUAUUGUAAUGAACGUUCUUGUGUUAGCUGUCCUUUUACCGGGCCUACUGGAUGCACUUCCAAAUGGAUGAAAGGCUUUGUGUCUUUUAAAUUGUAAAUUAAAAUGUAUAAUUAUAUUCUCACAGCCUUGCUAAGAACCAAGGUUCAUGCUUUCCUUAAUUUUUACCAAAGUAAGAGACAAAAUAUGGUAUCUUAUUAUUGAAAUUCAUUUAUUUGUUAAGAGGAAUGAACAUCUUUUCAUAUAGGAGUUCCUCUUUUAUAAAUUGCCUGCUC